UACGGAGGGUGCAAGCGUUAAUCGGAAUUACUGGGCGUAAAGCGUACGUAGGCGGCUUGUUAAGCAAGAUGUGAAAUCCCCGGGCUUAACCUGGGAACGGCAUUUCGAACUGUCAGACUAGAGUGUGGUAGAGGGUAGUGGAAUUUCCUGUGUAGCGGUGAAAUGCGUAGAUAUAGGAAGGAACACCAGUGGCGAAGGCGGCUACCUGGACCAACACUGACACUGAGGUGCGAAAGCGUGGGGAGCAAACAGG
rnacentral:rRNA from 1 species